UAAUAAGUGUUUUAUGGCACUUUUUAAAUCCAUAUCCACCUUGUGUGCAAUGUCGGUCGAUCUUCUUUAUUGGAGAUCGACCAAACAUCAACCUUUAUCUUUUAACUCUUUGUCUGAAAAAUAUUAUGAAUAAACAAUUCAAAAUA
rnacentral:misc_RNA from 1 species